rnacentral:misc_RNA from 1 species
UGUUCGAGCGUCAUUAUAACCACUCAAGCCUGGCUUGGUAUUGGAGUUUGCGGUUCCGCAGCUCCUAAAAUCAGUGGCGGUGCCGGUGUGGCUCUACGCGUAGUAAUUCUUCUCGCGAUGGAGUUCCCCUGGUUGCUUGCCAGAACCCCCCAUUUUUACAGGUUGACCUCGGAUCAGGUAGGGAUACCCGCUGAACUUAA